GCCAGUGUGGUACAGUGGUUUGAGCAUUGGCUUUUGCCUGUGGAGGCCAGGAUUCAAAUCCCUGCUCAGCCA